GAUAUUUAUUGGUGUAAGCUUAAUAGGAUAUGGUAAUGAGUUUGUUUGGUUAUUAACAGAAGCUGAUCAUUAGUGGGUCUGCUUUCCGUUGAUUUUGCUCCUUGAACAUGUGUUUCUGAACCUAUUUCUAUGGUAAUUCUGCAUCUCAAUCUGUUGGAACUCAGUAAGAGUUAUUAUUUAAUUUGUUUUGGCUGUUUCCAGCUUACCAUGGUGGACUUACAUUAAGGUUCUUAUUGUUGGCUGCUUGGUUACUCCUCACUUUGAGGGUUCUCUUUAUGUCUAUAAACACAUUGUUCAUCCAUGUCUCUCUAUCGACCUACACGUGCUCCUCAACGAAUUGGUCAACCUGAUGGUGGUCCUCAAGCAGGAGAAAGUUCUAGCAGAGGCGAAGAAUGCAAAGGCUACUGCAGGUGAAGCUUUGCAGAAUCUUACUGCUCUCAAGGUAUGCACUCAGCAUCCUGUUCCAUUUUUGCAGAAUAGGCUUGUGAAUCAGAAUGCUAAUGCAGCAGACCAUUGAUACAUACUAGAAAUAUGAGAUGAUGAUCAUUAUCGGCUUCCUUCUUCCUCCCCUCACCCUUUGUUACAUGCAUGCAGCCAGAGUUUGAAGAGUCUAAAGGUGUGCAGAAAGACAUUAGUUCAGUGGAAAUGACAGAGAAUCAAAAGUUGGCAUUAACUAAACAGGUAAGGCUACCUACCUUGUAUAAAAUGAUGAUUUUUCUCGGUUUCCUUCGUCCUUCCCUCACCCUUUGCUAGCAUGCAGCCAGAGUUUGAAGUCUCUAAAGUUGUGCAGAAAGACAUUAGUUCAAUGGAAAUAACAAAGAGUCAAGAAUCAGCAUUAACUAAACAGGUAACGCAAGCUACAUUUGUGCAUCUGCCUGUAAAUUUGAGUCUAUGAUUUCCCUUGCUUUUUUCAUCGCAUUUACUUGCAUGUUCACUAAUUUUUGUUUCUAAUACUACAGUUGCAGUUUGGACAACUGGAACCUGACUUCAGUCAGUCAGGAAACAGAACAACUGCUCCACUGGAUUUCACUGGAACGACACCUACAUGGUUUGCAGCUAGUGGUCUUCCUGAUGUAUUACCAUCUAACAACAUCCAAAAGGAGUGGACUUGUGCUGUAUGUCAGGUAACAACCACAAGCGAAGCAGACCUUAUUUCCCAUCUUCAUGGAAGGCGACACGAGUCUGCUUGUGAGAAGCUGAAAGCCUACAACCAAACAUCGAAAAGCAAGGUUUCCUCAGCUUCAGCUAUGGAAAAUGCAAAUGCUGCAGAAAGUAGAGGCAACUCACCUGAUACUAAGCAAACCCACAAGCCAUGGACUUGUGCUACAUGUCAUGUAACAACCACAAAUAAAGCAGAUCUUGUUUCCCAUUUUCAAGGAUUGCGACAUAAGGACGCUUUGGAGAAACUGAAAGCGAAAUUUCAGACAUCUGAAGACAAAACUCAUUCUGCUUUAGCAGCAAUAGCUGGUAGAGAUGUUCCUAACAUUCCAUGGACUUGUGCUGUAUGUCAGCUAAAAAUCACAAAUUUGGCAAGCCUUGUUUCGCAUCUCGAAGGAAGGCGACAUGAGGAUGCUUGCAAGAGCUAUCAAGCCAAGAUCAAUAGUAUAAAAUCAUUGCGGUGUACCAUAUGUAAUAUAAGCUGCAGCAGUGAAGGAAACAUGAAAUCUCACCUUAUGGGGAGCAAGCACUUGACCAAUACUGGAGCUCAACAGCAGACUUGAUUCAUGACACUGCUGCAUGGAGAAAUUUUACAGUACAACUGUGUUGUAUGAUAUAAAUUUUCCGGUGCAUGUAGACUAUAUAUUUGUGUGUAGGAAGAACUAGCUAUGGAUUUGUGGGCUCUUAUAUAAGACUCGAUCAACUACCCAGAAUUUGACUCUGAAUCGUAAUCUGUAUCCUACUACUUCAUUUCUGGUUGUAUUUAUAAAAGUUCAGGGCAACCUACCUGAUCUUUGAACUCGUUCAACAUCUAAAUUCGUUUUGAAUCGGAUAGAAGUUUAUUAUUUUUAAAUUAUCUAAAAUCUUUUUAAAAUCAAUUUUUAUUACUCAAAAAAUAUCCGAAUCCAUUUAAUUUUUCAAAAUUUAUUUUAACAAUUCAUAUAAAAUAUAAUUUAAAAGGUUAAUUUAUAUUUUAAAAUUUUAAUAAUUAAAUAAAAUAUUAAAUUAUAUUUAUAUCAUGUAUAGUGUAAAAAAGUUUUAAAUAUUAAUAAAAAAUAUAUUUAAUCAUUUAUUUAUAUAUAUAUAAUUUGAUAAAAUAUAUUCAAGUCUGAUAAAAUCGAAUGGGCCAAACCUGUCAGUGCAGAGGAUGUGUGGGCUUUCGGAUGAUAAGCCUUUAUCGCAGGCUUGGCCUUUGACCGGGAUGGAAAAACCCAGCGGUCAUCAACAGUAAUCGUGUAAGUUUAGUCAGAGAGAAAAAUAUUUCUCCAUUUUUAUUUCUUUCCAUUUAUCUGCUAGUGACACCUAACGGCCUGUCUAUUACAGUGCCGCCUGUUUAUGUCACGCGGGUCCAUACAUACGAAAAUGUCAGUGCCUCCUUCACUAUACCAGGCGAUUAUUUAAUUCCCCCCGACGCACAGGUGGGCAGGACUGCGACUUUUACUUGCUGAAUCUAUACUCGCGGGUGACCCCUGUAUCUGAAUCAAGGUUGGAGAUGCUGGCCCGAUCGUUUAAGGAGGAUUUCAUGGACUUAGAGCUGGCACUGUCUUCUUGAAUCCGGUCUGAUCAUUUAAGGAAGAUUUCAUGGACUUAGAGCUGGCACUUCUUCUUGAAUCCGGCCUAAUGUUGGAGUGGCAAAAUCCGACGGUCAUCAUUAAUUAAAUAUAAAUAAUUAAAUGCAUAUGAGAAUAUGAGAAUCAAAUGCAUAAAAUUGAUAUUGAAUUAACAUUAAUUUAUAGUAAUUCUAUUUAUAGUAAUAAAUAUAAUUAAAAAUUUUAAUUACAUGAAAAUAAUCUAAAUUUUAAUAUCACAUCUAAAUCUUAUUAUACAUUUAAAUAUUACAUUAGCUUAACAAUCAUGAUUUAUUUAGCUUAACAAUCAUGAUUUUAAAUUUAUAGACUACGCAAAUUAUUCUAAUAAAAGACCUUAAGAGUUUUAAAUUUUAAAUAUUGUGAAUUUUACCUCUAUCAAUUCUCAUGCGAAUGUGAAUAUAAAUGUGAAUAUAUUUAUGAAUAAAGAAUUUUUUUCGUAUAUCAUUGAAUGUGAGCGGAGAAAAUAUCUUCUUUUAGUAUUACUUGUGAGUAGAGAAAUAUUCUCUUGGCAUUACUUUUAAAUGAUUCUUUUAUUCUGGUAUCGAAGAUUUAUUUUUUCCCGAGAAUGUGAAGGAGACUUCUCUUUUAUUGGCAUUGCCGACUUGGAUUUGUUACGGUAUUGAUAUGAAUUUAGUGUUUUUGGUUUUGGCUUGAUUUUUUGUUCAUAUGACUUUUUUUUUUCAUCGUUUUUUCUUUUUCUAUCUUAUAUUGAAUCUCUCAAUCACACAAGUUCCUUCUCUUGAUAAAAUUGCUAUGAUACCCAUUAUUGAUUUUUGGAGGAAAAGAAAAAUAAGAGAAUCAAAUGCAUAAAAUUGACAUUAAUUUUAUUCAUGAUACUGUUAUUUAUAGUAGCAGAAUCAGUUUCACUUUGCUGAAACAGGUCGAAAUUAACAAAGAAAUGGGUAAGGCCAGUGUUCACCGAAUGCUGAUAACAUGAUAAAUUCAAGGAGGCUGACGUGAGAGUUGAUGGGGGUGAUAAGAGCUUGGAGCUCGUCUUGGCACGAGGGAAAAGAACGAGAAGAAAGGCCUAAGCCCUCUAAGCCUCUUUUGCAGGCCACUGCUCCAAAUUCAAAUCCUAAAAAAUUAUCACUUGCCCAAAGAUGACCACUUUCAGCUAAGCCAAUCUUUAAAUUUCCUUUCAUAAUUUGUUUUUAAUUCUUUCUUUUUACGGGAAACUGAUAGAAAUUAGUACGGGAAAACAGAACUUGUCCCCAAGUUUAACGUUUUCCACGCUGAUUCUGCCAAACAUAAUUUAUUUAAAAAAAUUCUUUAUUGUUCACUUAAUCCCUUAAUAAAACUAAGAUGUAAAAUUCCUAUUAUUAUAUUUUUAAAGCCUAUUUUUUUUAAUUUUAUAAUUUUCUGGUAAUUUAACCCUAAUUAUCUAUCAUUAGUAUUAAUUUUUAAAAUUAAAUUUAUUUUAAAUUCAAUUAUAUAAUAUCUAAAUUCAUUUGCGGAGUAAAAUCAAGUACUUUAAUUUGUAAUUAGUCAAUAAAAUUAGGUAUAGUGAACGCUUUUUCCCAAACCGAAACGUCCUUUGGGGCCACGAGAGUCAACUAUAUGCGAGUUUGUGAAAGAGAUUUUGACUUUUCAAGGGGAAACCAUAUGUAAACAAACGGACAUUCUAGGAUUUCGCUCUCCAAAAAAAUCUAUUUACAUCAAAUUUAUAAGUAUUUAUAAUAUAAAAUUAUAAUAAAAUAUAUUUAAAAAAACUCUUUACUUAGCUUAAAAGAAAAUUAUCCUUCAUUUUCGUAGAUUUUCCUAAUAAUAAUUAGGUAAAUAAAUGAUAAACUAAUAAUAAUUAGGUAAAUAAAUGAUAAAUAAAUAAAAGAGAGGUUUUAUUUUGAUGAAUUAAAUCUAAAAAGUAAAAGAAAAUAAUAAUUUAAAUAAGUGAGAAUAUCAAUGGAAAAGAAAUUCUAGCUGACGUGGUUUGUUCAGAAUUGAUCAUUUAAGACUCCUAUUUUAUUUUAAUAAAUUAGUUUUAGUUGUGGAAAACGCUUCUUACAAUCAAAUUCCUCCUUAUAAUUUAAAAUAAAUAAUUAUAAAUAAUUAAAUUUUAUUAAUUUUAAUAAAUAUAUUUUAAAAUUUUUUAAUAAAUAUAUUUUAAAUUAAUAUUUUAAUUUGAUUUGAUAUUUAAUAUAUAUUCAAUUUAUUUAUAUUUUCAAAUCACAUAUUUUUAAAAGUUGAUAACUUAUUUUUUGAGAUUUUUUUAAUAAUUAUAAAUACAAAGUUUUAUAUAGUUAUAUGUUAAAAAUUGUUGUCAUAACAUUAUUUCUAGUGAAGUAAGAAUCCUGAUUUUUCUCUAUUUGAAAAAUUAAACUAGUCUGAAAAAUAAUAAUUAAUUUAAUAAAUUUAAACUGAUUAAAUUUAUUAGAGAAUAUAUAAAUUAUAAUCAUAAAUAAAAUUAAAUUUAACUAUUUUCAAUUAAUUUAACUUAAUUUUUAACUAAUUUUUCAUAAGGAAAAUCGUGAUUCUUGAUUUAAUAAAUAUAAUAUUAUCAUAAUACUUAUCGUCACUUAUAAUUAUUAUACUUAUUAUUGUAAAAAAAAUCAAAAAAUAAAUUAUUGGCUUUUAAAAAUAUUUCAUUCAAAAUUAUAAAUAAAUGGAAUCAACAUUAGAAAUUAAAUAAAAAAAAUUCAUUUAUGAUGUAUUUAUUAAAAUAAAAAAUUUAGAAUAUAAUUAUUAAAAUUGAUAAUAUUUGAAAAUUUUUUUGCAAUUAUUUAUUUUAAGUUAUCAAAAUUUUAAUUUUUAAUACUGAAAUGGUUACGUGAUAUUUUUAUUAAAUUUAAUGGUUAAAUUUAAUAAUAAAUGUAAAUAAAUUUAAGUUAUUAAUUGAUAAUAUAGUAAUUAAUUUUAAAAUAUAUAUGUUAAAAUGCAAAUAUUAUCCCUAAAUUUAUUAUCUUGUGUUUGUAUAUAUGAAUUUACAUAUAUCUCUUAUUUAAAAUCAAUAAUUUCAUAAUAAUUUAAUUUAAUUAAUUAAUUAACUUUUUAUUAAUUUUAUUAUUUAAAAUUAAAAAUUUUAAUUCUUCUAAAUCUUCAAAAAAUUCAUAUUAAAAGAAAUAAAAAAACAAACAAUAUUGUAUAAAAAUUCAUUUCAAUUUGUUGUUAUAAAAUAGAUUGUUCCAAACCAAACUUAUAAAUGUUAAGAAAGUCGCCUAACCAAAAUUUAAUUGAGGGAGGAAAGUCGGCAUUUGGAAAAUCAAGUACGUCCUUGUGUGAAACUGCUUUGCAGGUUCCCACCAUACUUGCUUUUGCUUUUUCACUUAAACUGCAAAAUUUUUAUUCGUUUGCUUGGCCGUGUUGUUUAGGUGUUUGAGCAGCUUUUUAAUGGAGAUUUAAGCCAAUGAAUCUCUUCUUCAAGGGAUUCAUAUCCUUCCAAGAUGGGAAUAAUGGGUAGUUUCUUCAAGUUUUCAGGGCACUGCUUUGAUGUUCUUGCAUGGUAAGCAGAUUAUCAAUCUCCCAAGAAUUUGGAAUCUUGUCUUGAAAUCAUUACUUCCUCUUGUAUUUUGUUUCUGUUUGGAUCUUUUUCUUUCUUCUCAGUGAAGGAAUCUUCAGUUUCCCCUUUAUGAGCAUUAACAAUUAAGCACUUGACUUUACUGAUUUUAUCUUCCAAUUUUUUUCCCCAUUUUGCAAAAUUUCCCCUAAUUUUGAUUUUAGGUUUUGCUUACCAUUUUCUCUGAUUGGUUCUGUUCUUGCAGGCCCCUCUUUGCUCUGGUCUAUCCCUUGUAAGUCUUGGAAACUUUACUGAAUGCUACACUUAGUUCAAUUAUGCAUUAUUCUUUUAAUAUAAUCUGUUUUAUAUCUCUUCAGAAAUUUCAACUAUAAUGCAGAAAUUGAUUAUUUUGUAACUGAUUGUUAAUUCUUGUACUGAAUAGGUAUGCUUCCAUUCAAGCAAUUGAGACUAAUUCCAUCUCCGAUACCCAGAAGCUGAUUUCUUAUUGGGUCUGCUUUUCAUUGAUUUUGCUGUUUGAAAAUGCUUUUUCUGAGUUACUUGAAUGGUAAUAUUCUAUUCUUCAUUUUUCAGUUUCAAUGAUCAGCUUGAAUGGUCUGCUUUUCAGUUUCAAUGAUCAGUUUCUGGGUUAAUGAAUGGUCUGCUUCUCAGUUUCUGAUUUCAAUUUUUAUGCACUAUAUCCAUAAAUAGUUCUAACUGUAUACGAAUGAUAAUCAAAUAUUCACCCUUAUGGCUUGUAGAGGACCUACCUAUAUCUGCCAUGUGUGAACUUGCUCUUGAACUUACAUGUACGGACAAGCAUGAAAUUUUUUAGUCUAAUUCUGCUUUUUAAUUUAUACGCCUUACAGAAACUUUUCCCAUCUUAUGCAAUCAUGAAAAAGCUUCUGCAUUAAGGAUAUUUAUUGGUGUAAGCUUAAUAGGAUAUGGUAAUGAGUUUGUUUGGUUAUUAACAGAAGCUGAUCAUUAGUGGGUCUGCUUUCCGUUGGUUUUGCUCCUUGAACAUGUGUUUCUGAACCUAUUUCUAUGGUAAUUCUGCAUCUCAAUCUGUUGGAACUCAGUAAGAGUUAUUAUUUAAUUUCUUUUGCCUGUUGCAGCUUACCAUGGUGGACUUACAU
rnacentral:lncRNA from 1 species